rnacentral:rRNA from 1 species
GACGAACGCUGGCGGCGUGCUUAACACAUGCAAGUCGAACGGAAAGGCCCUGCUUUUGUGGGGUGCUCGAGUGGCGAACGGGUGAGUAACACGUGAGUAACCUGCCCUUGACUUUGGGAUAACUUCAGGAAACUGGGGCUAAUACCGGAUAGGAGCUCCUGCUGCAUGGUGGGGGUUGGAAAGUUUCGGCGGUUGGGGAUGGACUCGCGGCUUAUCAGCUUGUUGGUGGGGUAGUGGCUUACCAAGGCUUUGACGGGUAGCCGGCCUGAGAGGGUGACCGGCCAAAUUGGGAAUGGGAAAGGGCCCAGACCCCUAGGGGGGGCAGCGGGGGGGAAUAUGGAAAAAGGGGGGGAGGCCUGAUGGAGCAACGCCGGGGGGGGGAGGACGGCCUUGGGGUUGUAAACCGCUUUCGCCUGUGACGAAGCGGGGGUGACGGUAAUGGGUAAAGAAGCACCGGCUAACUACGU